GGUAACUGGGCAAACUUCCUACGGCACAAAUGGCUUUUUAGUUACCUCCUAGUGCUGAAUGCAUUAAAUAAAUGGCGGAUUCUUGUCUUGUUAUGAUUAAUAAGAAAGUUUGUAAAUGCAGCCUGGAUGAUGAUAAGCAAAUGCUGACUGAACAUGAAGGUCUUAAUUAGCUCUAACUGACUAAAGGCAUUUGUUAGUUUUGGCAGGGGGUGAACACUCAUCUGUGGCUAUUCUAAGACCACUCUUAUUUCUUAGGUGGAGUCCAACUUGCCUGGACCAGCUUAAUGGUUCUGCUCCUGGUAACGUUUUUAUCCAUGGAUGACUUGCUUGGGUAAGGACAUGAAGACAGUUCCUGUCAUACCUUUUAAAGGUACAUGUUUUAUUGAUGUUAACGUUAAUUGAUUGAGCUACUGUUAGUGAUGAUUUUAAAAUUAAAGCAGAUGGGAAUCUCUCUGAGAAAGAAAAUGGAGAUUAAUCUUAAACUGAAACAGUAGUUGGGAAAUCUUUUAGAAAUCCACCUAUUACUACCUAUUGGUAAAGGAGAUUAAAUUUCUACAGGUAUGGAGAGUCGGCUUGACUACACUGUGUGGAGCAAGUUUUAAAGAAGCAAAGGUAUAGCAGUUCCAAGUAUUUUUUUUUUUUUUUUAGACAAGAGUCUAGCUCUUGCCCAGAAUGGAGUGCAGCGGCACUAUCAGUUCACUGCAACCUCUGCCUCCCAGGUUCAAGGAAUUCUCCUGCCUCAGCCUCUUGAGUAGCUGGGAUUACAGGCAUGUGACACCAUGCCUGGCUAAUUUUGUACAGCUAUGUUGUCCAGGCUGGUCUCGAACUCUUGACCUCAAGUGAUACUGCCCGCACUGACCUCCCAAAGUGCUGGGAUUACAGGCGUGAGCCACCAUGCCCCGCCUCAAGUCUGGUUUUUAAGUGUUGUAAAGCCGAUACAAUGAUGAUAACAUAGUUCAGCAGACUAACGCUGAUGAGCAAUAUUAAGUCUUUCGCUCCUAUCUGAUGUAUCUGGCGGUAACAUUCUAGUUUAUGCCCCGAAAAGGGGAAUAUAGCCAUUCUAUAAUGUUUGGAGAUUUUGGAUUACUCCUAAUUGUAUGCAAGUUGUCUUACUGUGUAUUGUCCCUUAAUUUCAGGACUCAGAAUUCAUGAUUGAAGAAAUGCAGGUUAGUUUAAACUUUGAAGGAAAUUUUUAAGGUGGCAAAAGGUUUUGGUGGCAUAUACACCUUAAUCUGUAGAUGGGAGUGAUUAGCUGUUUAAAAGUUAAAAUGUGACUGAGAAGGAAAUUGAGUAGGGCAAAUUUUAAAUGGGUAUUAUUUUUCAUCUUCAAACAGGCAGACCUGUUAUCCUAAACUAGGUGAGUCAGCUUUUGGUACAUGUGAUGAUUUUCAGUGUAACCAAUGAUGUAAUGAUUCUGCCAAAUGAAAUAUAAUGAUAUCACUGUAAAACCGUUCCAUUUUGAUUCUGAGGUUACUCUACUAACAAGCAUCACACAUUUGUAUUUUGCCCUGAUUAAUAUGUUGGCUUCGCUUUCAGGGUUUUUAAUGACCACAACAAGCAAGCAUGCAGCUUACUGCUUGAAAGGGUCUUGCCUCACCCAAGCUAGAGUGCAGUGGCCUUUGAAGCUUACUACAGCCUCAAACUUCUGGGCUCAAGUGAUCCUCAGCCUCCCAGUGGUCUUUGUAGACUGCCUGAUGGAGUCUCAUGGCACAAGAAGAUUAAAACAGUGUCUCCAAUUUUAAUAAAUUUUUGCAAUCC
rnacentral:lncRNA from 1 species